GACGUAGGGCGCGAGCGUUGUCCGGAUUUAUUGGGCGUAAAGAGCUCGUAGGCGGCUUGUCGCGUCGACUGUGAAAUCCCGCGGCUCAACUGCGGGUCUGCAGUCGAUACGGGCAGGCUAGAGUUCGGUAGGGGAGACUGGAAUUCCUGGUGUAGCGGUGAAAUGCGCAGAUAUCAGGAGGAACACCGGUGGCGAAGGCGGGCCUCUGGGCCGAUACUGACGCUGAGGAGCGAAAGCGUGGGGGAGCGAUCCGG
rnacentral:rRNA from 1 species